UACGGGGGGGGUAAGCGUUGUUCGGAAUUACUGGGCGUAAAGGGCUCGUAGGCGGCCAACUAAGUCAGACGUGAAAUCCCUCGGCUUAACCGGGGAACUGCAUCUGAUACUGGAUGGCUUGAGUUCGGGAGAGGGAUGCGGAAUUCCAGGUGUAGCGGUGAAAUGCGUAGAUAUCUGGAGGAACACCGGUGGCGAAGGCGGCAUCCUGGACCAACACUGACGCUGAUGAGCGAAAGCCAGGGGAGCAAACGGG
rnacentral:rRNA from 1 species